CAAACAUAUUGCCUCCACCUUGGAGGGGAUUUGAGGUACAUAGCUAUUAACCAACAUUGAGCCAGACAUAAAGAAAUUAUGUGAGUAUCACCAGGCCCAAGAGAGAAAUUAACAAUUAUUACUAACCAUGUUCACCAACACGUUGACAAGAUGCAAGAGGCACAAGAUCGAAAUAGAGGGAAAAUUAUGAGAGAGAUCUAUGUCCAGCAGUGGACAAGCGAACAUUGAAUGAUGACUUACCAUGUAUCAUUUUACGAAAUGUAAAAAUAAAUCAAUAUUGUACUGAAUAA
rnacentral:lncRNA from 1 species